AGGACGAACGUUGGCGGCGUGCCUUACACAUGCAAGUCGUACGCGAAAGGGUGAACCGGCUUGCCGGGGAUCCCGAGUAGAGUGGCGAACGGGAGCGUAACACGUGAGAAACCUGCCUUGGAGUGGGGAAUAACUUCGAGAAAUCGGAGCCAAUUCCGCAUGAUGCAGCGGCCCCGCAUGGGGACAGUUGUUAAAGACGGCCUCUGCUUGCAAGCCGUCGCUUCGAGAUGGUCUCGCGGCCUAUCAGCUAGUUGGUGAGGUAAUGGCUCACCAAGGCGACGACGGGUAGCCGGCCUGAGAGGGUGUCCGGCCUCAUUGGGACUGAGACACGGCCCAGACUCCGUA
rnacentral:rRNA from 1 species